UUCAACGGGUGGGCCGUAGCGAGGGAGCCGCAAGGCUCGCCGGUUUGAGCUAGCGCCGGCCUGUCAACCUCGCUACGUGCCCGCCCACCCGU
rnacentral:antisense_RNA from 1 species